UACGGAGGGAGCUAGCGUUGUUCGGAAUUACUGGGCGUAAAGCGCGCGUAGGCGGCUUUGUAAGUUAGAGGUGAAAGCCCGGGGCUCAACCCCGGAAUUGCCUUUAAGACUGCAUCGCUUGAAUCCGGGAGAGGUGAGUGGAAUUCCGAGUGUAGAGGUGAAAUUCGUAGAUAUCGUAAGGAAGACCAGUGGCGAAGGCGGGUCUCUGGACAGUUCCUGGCGCUGAGGCACGAAGGCCAGGGGAGCAAACGGG
rnacentral:rRNA from 1 species